rnacentral:tRNA from 1 species
GUUCUUAUAGUGUACAUAUAGCACAUUAGAUUUUCAAUUUUUUAGGACACAAGUAUGUGUUAAGAAUA